ensembl:lncRNA
CUAAUAGGCCGGUGACGACGACCGCCGAGCGCCACACGCCCGGGAAGGGAAACGACCCUCGGUCGGACUCGUGACACUGUGGGUAUCCUGCUAUUGAAACACUCGUUGAAUUUUGCAAGAGAACGUGACAACGACAGUAAUUAAUGAGGCAGCCUAGAGAGUGCAGAUGAGUGCAGAGAGCAGGUGGUGGAGACAUUCACCAUGUCUCGUCAACAUAGAGCUCCUUGGUUAAAGAAGGGACUUGAGCUGUCCAGAGGAGAAUUCAUUGAGAACAUUUGCCAUGUGAUGCAAAC